rnacentral:rRNA from 1 species
UACGUAGGGGGCAAGCGUUGUCCGGAAUCAUUGGGCUUAAAGAGCGUGUAGGCGGCUUGUUAAGUCCGCUGUGAAAGUCCAGGGCUCAACCCUGGAAUGCCGGUGGAAACUGUCAAGCUUGAGUCCGGAAGAGGCGAGUGGAAUUCCUGGUGUAGCGGUGAAAUGCGCAGAUAUCAGGAGGAACACCAAUGGCGAAGGCAGCUCGCUGGGACGGUACUGACGCUGAGACGCGAAAGCGUGGGGAGCAAACAGG